CCCCGCCCCGCGGAGGACUACAACUCCCAGCAUGCACUGAGGGAGAGGGCGCUCGGGCAGAGCGCGGCGCCGCGCGGUGCGCGCAGGGAGCUGUAGUUCUCCGUGCGGCGGGGGCGCCAUGCCGGAGGGGAAGGCUGCGUUCCGCGAGGUGCUGCCCAAGCAAGGGCAGCUCUCGGCGGAGGACGUCCCCGCCAUGGUGCUGUGCAAGCCCAAGGUGCUGCCCCUCAAGUCGGUGGCGCUGGAGAAGCUGGAGGAGCUGCAGCGGGCCGCGGCCGAGGCGGCCGGGAGGGCCUCCGGGGGGGCGCCGGGCACGCAGCGCUAGCGCCGGGAGCCGCCGAGCCCCCAGGAAAUGAAACUGACCAGUAAGGAGAGAAAAGAAUACUGAUGACCUGCAGUUCGAACAGACACUAACAAAACAAAAAGCACGAUACAAAGCCCACGAUGGGCAGAUAGUAAAGGAUCAGCUUUGCCUGCAUGGAUCGUUGUGCCAUCUGACUCUUGCGUCUCAGUGAUGCACUGCUCUCUGCCCAGGAAAUCAGCAAAGCUGAGAGGAGAGGCGGGCCUUUGUCCUCCGCAGAGCAGACAGGCAUGGUGCCUGGGAUUCGACAGAGGCCCUGCUUUGCUCAAAUAUUUAUCCCAGCCUCCACAUAAAAGGUUUCACAUUAGUGCAGCUUUUUAAUAAAUGGUUUCCCAGUCCAA